AUGAGUGGGAUAUUCUGGAAUUGUAGGGGGGCAGGGAAGGGUAUGUCUACCUGCCUCUCAGACCUUAUUAAGGACUACUCCCUUGACUUCCUGGCGUUGCAAGAAACGAUUAAAAAGAAUUUCCAUAAAAGUUACUUUAGAAAGAUUGACCCUUGUGACCUGUUUGAUUGGUGCUGGGUUCCCUCGAUAGGCAAAUCCGGAGGUAUCCUUUGCGGUGUUAAAAAAGAAAAAUAUGAGGUUGUUUCCUGGAAAGUGGGUAAGUUUAUCUUACAAGCCACUAUGCACGAUGUAGAGAGAGAUAUGAUUUGGGCGCUUGUGGUUGUUUAUGGAGCGGCCCAAGAUGAAUUGAAGGAGGAUUUCCUGGUUGAGAUGGCUUCCUUCUAUUCCCAUAUUGAUAUCCCAUAUAUAAUAGGUGGUGAUUUCAAUAUCUUGAGGGGGGUGAUGACAAGAAUAAAAACAUGA
rnacentral:rRNA from 1 species